UGUAAUAGGAUGGUGUAAUGUACAAG
rnacentral:piRNA from 1 species